rnacentral:misc_RNA from 1 species
GAUCCACUUGAUCCAACAAGUCAUUCAUUUGAUUUGCUGUUGAUCAUUUGGAUCGACAUUGGGCUUUUAUCAUUAAUCGUCCUGAAUUCAUACACGGAUUGCUCGUGAUAAAGGGAGUGCUUGCACUUGUUAUAUCCAUCGAUCAAUCAUCCACCUCUAUUAAUGAUCUUAAAUCAGGCAAGACUACCCGCUGAACUUAA